rnacentral:lncRNA from 1 species
GGCAGGAGGGUCCAGGACAAUGGCCCCUCACUGCUGGUGGAUAUAAUGCUUCUGCAGCACUCUCCAUUCCUCCAGGGGGUUUCAAGCCCUCCCUGAUACCAGCCAUGCCCCAAAACUUGUCAGAACUGGGCUGUGGGGGAAGUGAGCUUAGGCAGGGAGGGGAGAGUGAGCACUUCCUCAGUCUGCAGCCAGAAUCUGCUGCCUAACAGAAAAAGGACAGCGGGAUUUUCCAUGCAACAGAGACUGAGUGUGACUGCUGGGGGCGAAAGCAGGUGGGGAGAUUAGACAUGCCUGAUGCUGAAGAAAGCAUGUUUGUGCUUAAUACAUUGGAGAAAUUGUUCAAGAACAGUUCAUCCAUGUGAAAAUAUGACCCUUGUAAUACUGCCAAGGUCAGAAAAACCUGAGGAGAUCUGCUGAGUAAGAGCUGGUCCUGCGAGGAAAAGCUGCCCAGAAUCAGCAAGACCACGUUGCUGGGGCAGCUCCCACCAGGGUCCCACCAGGGCAGUGGCAGAGCCUCUGCAGCUCUUUUCAGUGCUUGCUUGUGCUCUAUUCACAAGAACUAAUGUUCCAGGCUUUCUCCAGCCCACCUGGCUUUGGGUUCUUCAAUCACUUCUGAGUCUGAAAAUCACAUUGCUCCAGAAAGGGCCAGCUUGAGGAAGAAGGAAUUGCAGCUCUUCCUGCCUGCAAAAGUAUGACGGCUUGGAGGGUCCAUCUGCAAAUCCUAAAGAGCCUGUUUAUGUAACUUGAUGAAGUCACCUGAGUUUAGGAGCAGCGUGGAGCUACUGCAUCCAACAAAGCAUCAAGAGACGUCACAACCCUACACAGAAUCCACUGCAAGACCAAGCCACCAAUUCUGCGCAGCCACCAGUGCUGUCUGUGAUUCAGGAAAACUGAGAAAAGCUGAAAAGGCUGAACUUGUCGCCCUGAAGGAGAUGAAAAUGCUUCAGAAAAACAGGAACCCUUCCAUGCAUGCUAAAAGAAUUCUUGUUCAAUUAAACCUCUUAUACCUGUGUGGCAGCAGCUUGUAUCUCUUAAUCCCUGGCUCACUGUUAGUCUCUGCACAUAGUACCUGUCUUAAAACCCCUCAGACUGAGAGGGGACCCUUCCACUGUGUCUAUCUCCUCCUGGC